rnacentral:lncRNA from 1 species
CUUGUGUUUAAGUCAUAGAGUUUGCUUAGGAGUUGCAAAAUUGUAAUUUUGAAUUUUCUUUGGAUUUUUCACGCGAGAAGUUUAUUGUUUUGGUGAUGGCAAUGAAUUUCAUUUUUUAUUGGUUGGAGAGCUGAGCGUUGUGAGUAUUUUGAUGUAUUUUUGAGUUUUGUCACGAAAUUGCCAAAGGGGGAGAUUGUUACGGAUUUUAUGUUGGCAUAUUUCGUGAAGUAAGUCAGAGUCUUGAAAGUUUGAAGAAGAAGAGAUGAAGAUCGAAGACUCGAAGACUCAAAACAUGAAUGCACAAUGCUCGGUAAGUUUAAAUACUAUUGAUGAUGAUUUAUAAAUGUUUAAAAGUGUUUGGAAGACUUAGGAUGGUUUUAAAAUAUGAAUU